CCCGACUUCCCAUCUCCUCCGCCACGACGAAGAUUUGCCGCAUCCCGACUUCCCGUCUCCGCCACCGACGAUAUCUUCGUGUACCAGGAAUCACCGCCAUCUUCUUGCUAAUCUAAUUUUUUAUAAUUGGCAUUUUCUGUUUAGAGACUUGGAAAAAGUAAGCUAUCGGAAUGAAGGGAGGGAUGAAGUAAUUGGAGGAAAGAAUGGCCGAUGAUUACGGAUCCACGGAGCGGUGGACGCUGCGGUCGCUGUUGGGCGCCUUCCUGGACCUGGCAAUCGCCUACAUCUUCCUCUGCGCCGCCGCCGUCGCCUUCGCCGCCUCCAAAUUCUUCUCCUUCUUCGGCGUCAGCCUCUCCGCCUCCUCC
rnacentral:lncRNA from 1 species